AAGAAGGAUAUUCAUGCUUCUCUUGUAAGGAACCUAUGAAAGAAACUGGAAGGUAAGCUCACAAGGGAUGUACAACUAAAGCAGAAGAAAUUCAAAUGGGUGCAUAUCACUUAUGUUUUUCAGAAAGGAAAACCAAGGAAAUGUCCUAAAUUAGAAAACAAGAAAUCUUUGUGAAGAUGUAUCGAGGUAUGCCAGCAAAUCAAAGGCAAAAAUCAUGAACGAUGAAGACCUGGAAUACAAGACAGCAGGCAACUAAAUGUCCAGUGAAGAACAAGGCCAGGAUGCAGCGGAGCUGGAAGAUAUGUGUCUCCGCAGGGGCUGAGUCUGUCACCGGGCCCAAGGAACAUGUAUUCAAGGCUGAGAACAGAAUGCCUCUCAUGCUGUAGGUGUAUAAACAAGGUACACAGUUCCUCUUUUCAGUAAGGAAAAAGAAAGUCAAUAUGAAUUUGUAGGAAAGACAGGAAAACUUCACAAGAAAGCCACAGAUUAGUUAUGAAGCAAAUUAAAAUGUGGCUUGAUCUUGAACAGCUGAUGGGAUUCAAGGAAAGGGACAUUCUCUUAGGUUGCAGAGAGGUCAAAAAGUGGACUCAGGAAGGAGGAAAUGUCCUAAAACAGCACCUGCUGCACUGAGUAAUAUUUACACAGUGAUAACAAAGCAAAUGUUGCUUACUGCCGUUCAAAGUUUAGAAUCAGUUAUAGACAAAACAUUGCAUAUUUAUUUAUAGCUACAGAACAGAGUGUAGUUGUCGUUAACCUCAAUGUCAUAAAACUAAAAGAAAGCAAAAGUGAAGCUGACAGAGGCUGGGUGGAAGAAGAAGAGAAAAUGAAAGCACAUGAGAUCUCUGUUCCCCAACCAGGGAUCGAAACUGUGCCUUCUAUAUCAGAAGCAUGGAGUAUUAACCACUGGACUGCAAGGGAAGUCCCAGGAUUAACAUUCAUCAGGAUUACUACGACUGGAGACACUUAAAACAUGUAUACACACAUACAACUAGAAGAGAUUAU